rnacentral:rRNA from 1 species
CAAGUCGAACGCUCACCUUCGGGUGGGAGUGGCAGACGGGUGAGUAACACGUGGGAACGUACCCUUUGGUUCGGGACAACUCUGGGAAACUGGAGCUAAUACCGGAUACGCCCUUUUGGGGAAAGGUUUACUGCCGAAGGAUCGGCCCGCGUCUGAUUAGCUAGUUGGUGGGGUAACGGCCUACCAAGGCGACGAUCAGUAGCUGGUCUGAGAGGAUGAUCAGCCACACUGGGACUGAGACACGGCCCAGACUCCUACGGGAGGCAGCAGUGGGGAAUAUUGGACAAUGGGCGCAAGCCUGAUCCAGCCAUGCCGCGUGAGUGAUGAAGGCCUUAGGGUUGUAAAGCUCUUUUAUCCGGGACGAUAAUGACGGUACCGGAGGAAUAAGCCCCGGCUAACUUCGUGCCAGCAGCCGCGGUAAUACGAAGGGGGCUAGCGUUGCUCGGAAUCACUGGGCGUAAAGGGCGCGUAGGCGGCGUUUUAAGUCGGGGGUGAAAGCCUGUGGCUCAACCACAGAAUGGCCUUCGAUACUGGGACGCUUGAGUCUGGUAGAGGUUGGUGGAACUGCGAGUGUAGAGGUGAAAUUCGUAGAUAUUCGCAAGAACACCGGUGGCGAAGGCGGCCAACUGGACCGGCACUGACGCUGAG